rnacentral:rRNA from 1 species
AAUCAACGCUGGCGGCGUGCCUCAGACAUGCAAGUCGAACGAUUAAAGCUCUCUUCGGAGAGUGCAUAGAGUGGCGCACGGGUGAGUAACACGUAAGUAAUCUACCCUCGAGUGGGGAAUAACAGUCGGAAACGGCUGCUAAUACCGCAUAAUGCAGCGGCACCGCAAGGUGACAGUUGUUAAAGGAGCAAUCCGCUUGAGGAGGAGCUUGCGGCAGAUUAGCUAGUUGGUAAGGUAAUGGCUUACCAAGGCUACGAUCUGUAUCCGGUCUAAGAGGACGGUCGGACACACUGACACUGAAUAACGGGUCAGACUCCUACGGGAGGCAGCAGUCGGGAAUUUUGGGCAAUGGGCGAAAGCCUGACCCAGCAACGCCGCGUGAAGGAUGAAGUAUUUCGGUAUGUAAACUUCGAAAGAAUGGGAAGAAUAAAUGACGGUACCAUUUAUAAGCUCCGGCUAACUACGUGCCAGCAGCCGCCGUAAUAC